GGCUUCAAACUCACUAUGUAGCCAAGGAUAACUUUUGGACUCUGAUGCUCCUGUCUCUACCUCCAGUGUGCUGGGAUUACAGACAUGCACUAUGAUAGCAGUUCAUGCAGCUCAGAGGAUCAGACUCGGUCUUAUGCAUGCUGGGAAAGCACUCUGACAAUUCAGCCAUGCCCCUUGUCCCUUGCUCUGUCUAUUAUCAUCAGCCAGGAUGGAAUUGUGUCCUGGCAAGUAGGAAUGCUUGUCUGAAGACACCAUUUUUCUCUCAGCAGAGGACCUGGAUCAACCUCCUCUCUAAUCCCCAAAACAAGGAUGUGAGUCUUGAGGACAAACUAUGUUCUUUGCUCUUCAGAAUUCACAGGCUGUUGUUUUCCUCAAGCUUAAAAGACGGCUCAUCUUGGGCAUGUGCAGCUCCCACUCAGCCUCCCCCUUCCUCUGGCCUUACCAGUCUGUAGUCUAUUCCCCCUUGGGCACUCUCCUUCCCCUGGGCCUGCCCAGUGCUCAGCUAUCCAGUCAGUUGCCAGGCCUUUGUGGAGGUCUGUCAUCUGUGAAGCAGCCAUGCCUGGGGAGACAAAAACAGAAACAAGGGACUCCACAUAGGGUGGUCUGCUAUAGAGUUUCCUGAUUGGUUGGAGAAGUAUGAAGAACCUGGAAAAGACAUCUUUCCUGGAACAGAAUCAGCAGCAAUCAACUGCCUCUGAGGAAGAUGUUUCAGCACUGAGGGCUUUGCAGGGUUUAAGUGGAUCCUGGAGUGGGUGGUUACCGCCAAGAAUCCUUCUCUAGAAAUGUCACAUUCCAGAGGUUACCCUCUUUGGCAGCUGGCCAUUGAUUAAAAUCUGGACCUAGUCCUUA